UACGAAGGGGACUAGCGUUGUUCGGAAUCACUGGGCGUAAAGCGCACGUAGGCGGAUUCGUAAGUCAGGGGUGAAAUCCCGGGGCUCAACCUCGGAACUGCCUUUGAUACUGCGGGUCUUGAGUCCGAUAGAGGUGGGUGGAAUUCCUAGUGUAGAGGUGAAAUUCGUAGAUAUUAGGAAGAACACCAGUGGCGAAGGCGGCCCACUGGAUCGGUACUGACGCUGAGGUGCGAAAGCGUGGGGAGCAAACAGG
rnacentral:rRNA from 1 species